AAUAUCUUACAAAUAUUACCAUUUCAACAUGUAAUCAGUAUAGCAAGCAUUCUUUUUCAUACUAAGUCUUUGAAAUAGGCACUUUUCAAGGGUUCGGUAGCCACACGUCGGUAGUGGCUACUGUACCAAACAACACAGCUCUAGACCUCAGUCUAGGUAUCUGAGAUCUCAGAAUCCUCUGUCCAAAUGGCCCCCUCCUGCUUCCAGGGCCUCUCUUCCCCAUUAAGAUUUCUAAGGGCAGAGUCCACCUAGAAGCUUGCAGAGCAGGAAGGGCCAGGAUAUAGGCUUGCCUCCGAGGAGGGGGUGAGUUGCACCUGGAUUGGUUUUUCUUCUUAGCUCUAAACCUGAUCUAGAGGCAGGGGUAAUGGGAGCUACGGGGCACCAAGGGACAGAAAAGGUUGGGCACAGCCCAGGGGCAGCAGGGGAGCCUUCAGGGUGGUGGGAGGUUGGGAUCCCGCAGAGGCAGCCUGGACAGGCUCAUCUGGCAGAGGGGAGAGAGGGUGGGAGCACCGCAGUCCACAGACAGGUUAAUGCCUCCCGCCUUGCACACAAUUGAAUUUGCCCUCCUGAGCCUCCUGGCUUUGGGGAAGGGCCUCUUCUCCUGGGAGCUCAGCUGGACUCCCAGAGCCACAGGGCCUGGGUCAGCUGGGCCUGAUUCGAUCAGGAGAAAUGAAGGUCAUGAGGCCCACAGACAGCCCAGUGCCCAGAGGGGCCACUGGCUCAGCCCAGAAAGAUAAGGCCGGGGAGGGCCUGUGGGGGGGGCCCAGGUCCGUCCUAGCUCUGCCUCCAUCCUGGGAGCCCCCCAUCCUGGAAACACAGUUGAGAAGUGUCUGUAAUAUACAUCACCAUCUCCUCCCACCUUCCAUGUCUCUGAAAGGUGGCUGAAGAUGACUCACAAUCAGAAAACUUGGAACCAGUCUGUUUUCCUCUGCCUCUGCGCGGGUGUCCAGCACAUGUUAGGUGGGGGCAGAAGAAACAAGCGAAAAAGACUCCAUUCUUUCUUUACUCUCAGUACUUUGCAUCUUGUAUCAAACCCAACUCCCAGACAUAUAUUGUGGGAGGCUCUUUGUGGGAGAGCUAGUGAAACAGUUAGGGGACAGGGACUUCCCUGGUGGUGCAAUGGUUAAGACUCUGUGCUUCCAAUGCAGGGGGCCCAGGUUCGAUCCCUGGUCAGGGAACUAGAUCCCACAUGCAUGCUGCAACUAAGAGUCCGCAUGCCACAACUAAGGAGCCCACGUGCUGCAACUAAGACCCAGUGCCACCAACCAACCAACCAAACAAACAAACAAAACAGGGGGCAAAUUGCAAACCAGGGGAGACAUCAUAGGACUCCAAAUGGGACAUGCUGUCUCAUGCCUCCAGGCCUUUGACCAUGCCGUUCCUUCCACCUGGAUGCCCUCCUUCUUCCCCCUUGAAGGCCAGGGAAGAUUCUACUACCCCUUGGAGGCCACCUUCCCACUGUGACCCCUCCACUACCUCGCAGCACUGCUGGUUCCCACCCUCGUCCAUGUCUCUAUAAGCAUCUUCGAGGCUCCAUCAAGGGGCUGAUGGUGCACUUGUUAACUCAAUAUGCAAAUAAUCAUUGACCGCCUCCCAGGUGCCUGGCACUGUCCUGGGGGUUGGGACACCACAGGGAACAAGCAAACGAGGGGAAAGACAAUGAACAUGUAAACAAAAAAUAAACAAGAGUGUUGAGUGCUAAGAGGGAAAUAGAGUAGCCCACUUCUGUAAUCAAGAGUGAUUGGGGGGCUUCCCUGGUGGCGCAGUGGUUGAGAGUCCGCCUGCCGAUGCAGGGGACGCGGGUUCGUGCCCCGGUCCGGGAGGAUCCCACAUACCGCGGAGCGGCUGGGCCCGUGAGCCAUGGCCGCUGAGCCUGCGCAUCCGGAGCCUGUGCUCCGCAACGGGAGGGGCCACAACAGUGAGAGGCCCGCGCACCGCAAAAAAAAAAAAAGAGUGAUUGGGGUGGGCAGCGGCAUCUGCUUUAGACAAGGAGGUGAUGCUGGAGCUGAGGCCUGAAUGCUAAGAGGGAGGUGGUCCUGCAAGGGCCUGGGGCAGAGCGGUUCAUGCAGGAACAGUCAGCACUAAAACUCCAAGGCAAACAUACCGUAUCAUUACGUUUGUAUGAAACAUCCAGGAUGAGUGAAUCCAGAGAGAUGGAAAGCAGAUUGCUGAUUGCCAGGGGCUGGAUGGGGGGCAGGCAGAUGGGUGUGACUGCUAAUGGGAAUGGGGUUUCCCUUUGAGAUGAUGAAAAUGUUCUAGAACUAGAUAGUAGUGAUGGUUGCACAACAUUGUGAAAUGCCACUGAAUUGUACACGUUAAAAUGGCUCAAAUUGGGAAUUCCCUGGUGGUCCUGGUGGUUAGGACUCCGUGCUUCCACUGUAGGGCGUGGGUUCGAUCCCUGGAACUAAGAUUCCGCAUGCCGUGCAGUGCGGCCCAAAAAAACCAAAAAGCAAAAUACCACAACCACCGACAACAAAAAUAAAAUGGCUCAAAUGGUACAUUUUAUGUUCUGUGUAUUUUCCCAUAAAACCAAACAAAACAGCUAAGGCAAGAAUAAGCUUGCUGUGGUCUAGGAACAGAAAGGCCAGUGUGGGGAAAAUGGUAGAGGCUGGGGGAGGCGAUGGGGGCCGGUCAUGAGGAUGUUAUGGGUUGGUAAGAAGUUUGCAUUUUAUUCUAGUGCAAUGGGGGAGCCACUGGAAGUUUUCAAGCAGGAAAGGAACAAGACAGCACUUACCAUUUUUAAAGAUCCCGUGGCUGUGUGGGCCGUGGGUGGUGAUGGGACCGAAAUAAAAGCAGGGAGAUCAGAUGGGGAAGCCACUGCUGUGGUCCAGAGGAGAGAUGAUGGUGACCUGGGACAGGGUGCGGGCCAUGGGGAUGGAGUGAUGAGAACAGAUUUAGGAUUUAUUUUAAAGGUAGAACCAACGGGACUUGACGGAUUAAAGGAAAAGAAAAUGAGGAAAAGGGAAGAAUGGAGAAUGCCAUUUACAUUUUCAACUUGAGCAACUAAAAGGAUGGAGUUGGCGUUUUACUGAGAUGAGGAAGCCUGUGUGGGCAACACCUUUAGGGCACACAGAGUUUGAGCAGCUUAUUAGAUACCCACGAGGCAAUGUCAGGUGGGCCAUUGGAUGGGCUCGUCUGGAGUUCAGGACCGAGACAACCGUCUGAUUUUCACCACCCCCACCCCGUGGAGACGGUAUUUAAAGCCUGGCCCUGGGUGACCCCACCCCGGGGAUUGGUAUGGUAUGGAAGAGAGAAGAUCGCAGGGCUGUGCCUGGGGAAUCAGGCUAUGUAGAGAUCAAGCCGAGGAAGAGCCCCCAGCACAACAGACCGAGAAAAGCAGCCAGUAAGGCAGGAGGAAAAAACAGCUGAGCCCUGUCUCUGAAGUGAGGGAAGUGUUUCCAGGAGGGAGGGCCAGCACUGUCCAGUGCUGCUAAGAGGAUGAAUAGAUGAGGACAAAGGAGUUACCUUAGGAUUUAGCGGUGUGAUUAGAGGUCGGCCUCCCUGUGAGUCUGAGCGCCCAGCACAUAUUAGGUGCUUAUUUAAAGGUUGCAGGACUUGAAAUGAGCAUGUUCUGCACUCUGAGGCAUAGAUUGCCCAGAGCAUAGGGGUUCGAGCUAGAAACCAGGUAUUUAUCAAGGGGAAAUGGCUGAGGGGCAUGGGCCACCAGGGAGCCAUUGUCGCAGGGAGGCCGGGGGAGGCUGGGGAGCCCAAGGAGCACAGGAUUCCGGUUCGCCCACUGGCACUUUUUUUUUUUUUUUUUGCGGUACGCGGGCCUCUCACUGCUGUGGCCUCUCCCAUUGCGGAGCACAGGCUCCGGACACGCAGGCUCAGCGGCCAUGGCUCACGGGCCCAGCCGCUCCGCGGCAUGUGGGAUCUUCCCGGACCGGGGCACGAACCCGUGUCCCCUGCAUCGGCAGGCGGACUCUUAACCACUGCGCCACCAGGGAAGCCCCACUGGCACAUUUUGAGGAGGGCUUCCUUCCACUUCUUCUCGCCUUUUCCUCUCAGGAGGUGAUUCAUAUUUCAAUAUAUUCCAGCUGAAAAAGGAUCCGAUUUUAAGCAGGUGGGAUAUGAAUACCUUCAUGAUAAUUUGGGGAGAACAUCCGAUGCGUGUAUGUGGUGGAUGCCCCCAGGAUGGAACGUCUGGCACACAGGAAGGAUUCAACACACGUUCAUCUCCUUUGCUUCUC